rnacentral:lncRNA from 1 species
GGUUAAAUGGUUUCGUUUGGGUUGAAGCUACAGAAAAGCAGCAAUAGCCAUAAAGAGCCUACGUCACGCCCAUCAACUUCCAGACCAUGGGUUCCCAAUGAAUGCAAGUGAAUGGGGCUAAAAAUGCCGUUCAGGACUACAAAUGCUCUUCAUCGAACCAGACAUGGAGAGAACUGAGAGAACAUAGGUCUCUGGACCGAUCAGAGACCACCAGAGACGGAGGAUUCAAGCACAGUUGGGGCUUUUCUCUUCCCGAUGACAGAGAAAAGGCAAAGAGACCCGAACCCGGCCCGGUGAGCGUGGAGGAGAUGGAGCAGCACCAGACCACCUGCCCAGAGGAGACGUCUCCUCCUUUUAGACGCUUUGGUUCUGGUCCUUCGAGGGUGUACGAGAACCGGUCCAACAGCCACAUCAGGCCUCUGAACAAGCUGCUUCCUAAGACGAUCAGCAGCAUCCACCUCACGCCCCCCGCCUCCUCCCCCAUGGUCUCCAGGAACGACUUCAUCAUCAUCAGUCCGAUCCGUCCUCCAGGAGUGCUGCUGCAGGGGAGACACUUCCAGCACACGCACGUCUCUGUCCCCGUGAAGAAAUCGGGCCAAAGAAACGACCUGUCGUCCACGCAGCCGGAAGCAGAGGUGGACAGCAUCGUCCUCACCUGUCCGGAGCUCCCAGGAGAAGGAACUCUGAACGUCAAACGUCGAAUCCAACAGAAGAGAAAACCGCUGGAGAACGUCUGCGUCUCUUCUCAGAUCGAAGCACCUCAGCUGCUCGUCUCCCACUCCGUUUGUCUGAAGUGCAACAAGCCGAGCGACGAUGUCAGCAGGUGUCAGGUCUGUGGGAGCGGUGAGUCUCUGCUGCCCUCCAACCAGACGGCGUCUCCGACCCCCAGACCCCCCAUCAGAACCCAGACCUGCUCCGGUCCAAACAGCCUCCAUCAGAACUUUUACACACCCAGCACCACCAGGGAGAUUCUACCGGUACGGGUCACUAGCACCAGAGGGACGGUUCUUCCUGUCAACUGUAGCAAGACCCCCCUUUUAGCAGGGAUCUCAACCCCAUGUGGGACCGGAACCAGUACCAGAACGGGGUCGGCCACAGGGAGGAGGAGGACGGCCCAGCAGCAUGAGCUCAACGACCCCAUCGUUCUGUCCAGCGAUGACGAGGAGGCGGACAGCGCCAGCACAGGAAGUGUGAACAGGUUGGACAGCGUGUCCCCGCGACCAGCUGACUCUGCCCACUCGUCUCCAGCGCCCUCUGGAGGCCGGGUGGAGGCGGCGGUGAAAAGCACCGCCGAGCAGGAGGAGUUCAACACGGAUUUCCUGGACAACGUCAACAUGAAGAUCACGAUACCACGGAGAGCCCGGAUGAAGGACCAGUUUGGGAAUCAGCCUCCUGCGCCGUUCUCGUCGAGGACCAAGAGACCCAAAAUCAUGUCCAGUAAGUGUGACAGCAUCAUCCUGGAGUGUCGAAGUGUCCGAAUAGGAACGCUGCGUCGGAUGGUGACGAAGCCCGUCAUCGUGAGUCUGGAAAGAGGCAGCGUUGAGAAGGUUUGUCUUCGCGCGUCAGAACUGGUCAGCUGUGAGUGGUGCAGCGUCCGGAAACUACCCGUCUUGUUCUUCCAGACCAGCAUGGACGAGUGUGUCCGGCUGCGUUCACAGCUCAAAAUGUCCCAGGAGAACGGGGGCCAGUGGUUCGACUCCUCUGCUGAUGGUGACAUCACCAAGGUGUCUCCGGCUCCCGCGGCCAGUCAGACCGUCUGCACGCAGAUGGCAACCCGCCAGAGGACCAACUCCUACCUUGAGGAAGAGGACGAGAACAUGACGGACCUCCAGCCCUCCUUCUCUGGUCCGAUUGAGAAGUUAAUGGUCUACCCCCCCCCUCCAGCUAAAGGAGGCAUCACAGUCACCAACGAGGACCUCCACUGCCUUAACGAUGGAGAAUUCCUUAACGAUGUCAUCAUAGACUUUUAUUUGAAAUAUUUAGUUUUAGAGCGAUUAAAAAAAGACAACGCACAAAGAAUCCAUGUGUUCAGCUCCUUCUUCUAUAAGAGACUGAACCAGCGAGAGCGCAGAACCGGACCUGAUACCAGCAACCUGCCAAUCCAGAAGAGGAAACACAACCGGGUAAAGACCUGGACCCGGCAUGUGGACCUGUUCCAGAAGGACUUCAUCUUUGUUCCCAUUAACGAGUCCGCUCACUGGUACCUGGCGGUUAUUUGCUUCCCGGGCCUAGACGGUCCAGUAUUUGAGAAGAACCCGCUGUAUCACACCCCAAUGUCUAUCUCUGGUCCGGUUACGGAGCUGCAGUCAGAGGAGAACAUCCCGGAGCACUGCCGGCCUCUGUCCCCAGACGGAGACGGGUUGGACGGCUCAUGGAUCACGCCAUCCCCUACAGGGUCAGCGGAAGCAGAGUGUGACCCCACCUCUGAAAACUCAGAGGACAUGGAACCACAGGUCCACAACCGGACCAGACCAGAUGUGACUUACGGUUCGAUUAAAGGCGAUGACGACACCUACACCUUCUCUGACGACCAGAGCUCCUGUCAGGACGAGUGCAGCGAAGACGGGACUCUGGCCGAAGAAGCAGGUGGUGCUGAUGUGGCCAGUUUAGCCUCCAAACCCACCAUCUGUAAACAACCGUGUAUUCUCAUCAUGGACUCGCUGCGAGGUCCGGCCCGGUCCACGGUGGUGAAAACUCUUAGAGAGUAUCUAGAGGUGGAGUGGGAGGUGCGCAAAGGCUCCCAGCGCAGCUUUGGGAAGGAGGUGAUGAGAGGCUCCAGCCCUCGUGUUCCUCAGCAGGAUAACUUCAGUGACUGUGGAGUUUACAUCCUGCAGUACGUGGAGAGCUUCUUUCAGACUCCCAUUCCCAGCUUUGACCUGCCAGUGAACCUGUCUGAGUGGUUUCCCCAGCAGCGGAUGAAGAGCAAGCGCCUGGAGAUCAAGGAGCUGAUACUGAAGAUUCAAGCGCAGCAGGAGCUCGACAGGAAGGAUUGGGACCAGGUGGAGGCUGUGCCGGGAUCACCUGAGGAGCCGGAGAUCAAAGAGACUUUAGCGUCAAAGGCUCUGGAACCAAGCCGACCCGUUAGCUCCUGAACCGAACAGUACACGGCUGGUUCUACUUGAGCAUUUCUGAAACGGACCU